rnacentral:rRNA from 1 species
GAUGAACGCUGGCGGCGUGCCUAAUACAUGCAAGUCGAGCGAACAGACGAGGAGCUUGCUCCCCUGACGUUAGCGGCGGACGGGUGAGUAACACGUGGAUAACCUACCUAUAAGACUGGGAUAACUUCGGGAAACCGGAGCUAAUACCGGAUAAUAUAUUGAACCGCAUGGUUCAAUAGUGAAAGACGGUUUUGCUGUCACUUAUAGAUGGAUCCGCGCCGCAUUAGCUAGUUGGUAAGGUAACGGCUUACCAAGGCAACGAUGCGUAGCCGACCUGAGAGGGUGAUCGGCCACACUGGAACUGAGACACGGUCCAGACUCCUACGGGAGGCAGCAGUAGGGAAUCUUCCGCAAUGGGCGAAAGCUUGACGGAGCAACGCCGCGUGAGUGAUGAAGGUCUUCGGAUCGUAAAACUCUGUUAUUAGGGAAGAACAAAUGUGUAAGUAACUAUGCACGUCCUGACGGUACCUAAUCAGAAAGCCACGGCUAACUACGUG